AGGUAGAUUUCUGUGGAAGCCCUGUGACCAUCGUGAUGGAAAAGAGAAAGCCUGAAAGCCAGAUAUCCAGGUACAACGCCCAGAAAUGAGAGAAGGUGAUCAGGAGGACAACUAAAAUGUGAACUAAAGCAAGAGAUUUGCUGAAAUUAAAUACAUAUCCCGAGUUGAGGCCAGGGUGAGCUGGGGAACCAAGAACAUAAAUCAGAGAAGGAGAGUGAGAAAAUCUUCCAAGACUACUGAACAAGUACUUGAUUAUGCUCAGCAGGUGCAUUGGCUACUAUGGCAGCAGGAGGAAAGGUCCGGCCUGUUCAUCAGGAGGGGCAACUGCGCAGCCAAGAUUCUUCUAGAUCAAAUGAAGGUGAAUGACAGCUGUGUUGGAAUUACAAUGUCAAUUGCACUGUGCAAAGCCCAGCUGAUCAGAAAGACUGCUGCCCAGAGGACAGCCAUUAUGAACGUCUAGACUCCGAACUGGUUUGAGUUUCCUAGUAUGAAACGAAUAUAUGUUAGUGUAAAAAUGGUUAGGGCCGUAACUACUUUGUGCUAUCAUGUAUCAAGUUCAUUUAGCGAAAGCUUCUACCAGUAAGCAGGUAUUUGGUUACCAAUAGUCUUAAAAGACAAUAUUACGUUUCCAAAUUGUUUUAAGUUGGGCAUCAGAAAAUGUGAUUAUAUUCUUUACAUUAUUUCCUGACUGUGAAUCACUUUCAUUCUUACUCAUUUGCAAAGUCCAUCAAACAUUUAUUUGCAUUUGCUCCCUUUUCAGAGAUUAAUUCUCUCUCCUCCAUACCAGCUGUGCCUUUUAAUCAAGGUACCCUUGACUUCUGAGGUCAUUGAAGAGAACUUUUAGCAAUUCAUAGUCUUCAUACACAUCCCUACUCUUCUUGUGCAUUUGAUUGCCCUAUUUAAUAAAGAAUAAUAAUUAAUUGUCAAGCAAUGAAGCAAUAACUGGUAAGUCUCAGACUAGAAAUAAAAUAUGAAACAUGCCUGAAAUUAUAGGUCCUUCUCUAUAAUUUGUAUUCCCAGAUAGAUUUUAAGUUUCCUAAGAAAGCAUCCAUGUAUUCCACAUCUCUCUACCACCCACAGUGAGUAGUAAAGUGCCUGAAACACUGCUUUGUACAGGUAGAUGCUCAAUAAAUGUCAG
rnacentral:lncRNA from 1 species